AUACGGAGGGUGCGAGCGUUAAUCGGAAUUACUGGGCGUAAAGCGUACGUAGGCGGUUGGUUAAGUUAGAUGUGAAAGCCCCGGGCUUAACCUGGGAACUGCAUUUAAAACUGGCGAACUUGAGUUGAGUAGAGGGGAGUGGAAUUUCAGGUGUAGCGGUGAAAUGCGUAGAGAUCUGAAGGAACACCAGUGGCGAAGGCGACUCCCUGGACUCGAACUGACGCUGAGGUACGAAAGCGUGGGUAGCAAACGGGAUUAGAAACCCUAGUAGUCC
rnacentral:rRNA from 1 species